rnacentral:rRNA from 1 species
AGAGCGAACGCUGGCGGCAGGCCUAAUACAUGCAGGUCGAGCGGCCACUUCGGUGGCAGCGGCGGACGGGUGAGUAACGCGUGGGAAUGUGCCCUUUGGUACGGAACAACUGAGGGAAACUUCAGCUAAUACCGUAUGUGCCCUUCGGGGGAAAGAUUUAUUGCCAUUGGAGCAGCCCGCGUUGGAUUAGCUAGUUGGUGGGUAAAGCCCACCAAGGCGACGAUCCAUAGCUGGUCUGAGAGGAUGAUCAGCCACACUGGGACUGAGACACGGCCCAGACUCCUACGGGAGGCAGCAGUAGGGAAUCUUGCGCAAUGGGCGAAAGCCUGACGCAGCCAUGCCGCGUGAAUGAUGAAGGUCUUGGGAUUGUAAAAUUCUUUCACCGGGAAGAUAAUGACGGUACCCGGAGAAGAAGCCCCGGCUAACUUCGUGCCAGCAGCCGC